GAUGAACGCUGGCGGCGUGCCUAAUACAUGCAAGUCGAGCGAACAGACGAGGAGCUUGCUCCUCUGACGUUAGCGGCGGACGGGUGAGUAACACGUGGAUAACCUACCUAUAAGACUGGGAUAACUUCGGGAAACCGGAGCUAAUACCGGAUAACAUGUUGAACCGCAUGGUUCAACAGUGAAAGACGGUUUUGCUGUCACUUAUAGCUGGAUCCGCGUCGCAUUAGCUAGUUGGUAAGGUAACGGCUUACCAAGGCAACGAUGCGUAGCCGACCUGAGAGGGUGAUCGGCCACACUGGAACUGAGACACGGUCCAGACUCCUACGGGAGGCAGCAGUAGGGAAUCUUCCGCAAUGGGCGAAAGCCUGACGGAGCAACGCCGCGUGAGUGAAGAAGGUCUUCGGAUCGUAAAACUCUGUUAUUAGGGAAGAACAAAUGUGUAAGUAACUAUGCACGUCUUGACGGUACCUAAUCAGAAAGCCACGGCUAACUACGUG
rnacentral:rRNA from 1 species